GACGAACGCUGGCGGCGUGCUUAACACAUGCAAGUCGAACGGGAUUUAGUAGACAGAAGCCUCGGCUAAAGAUUACUAAUGAGAGUGGCGAACGGGUGAGUACCGCGUGCGCAGCCUGCCUCUGACAGUGGGAUAGCCUCGGGAAACCGGGAUUAAUACCGCAUAAAAUGGUAGGAACACAUGUUUUAACGGUCAAAGAUUUAUCGGUCAUAGAUGGGCUCGCGUCUGAUUAGCUAGUUGGUGAGAUAACAGCUCACCAAGGCGACGAGCAGUAGCCGGUCUGAGAGGAUGAACGGCCGCAUUGGAACUGAGACACGGUCCAAACUCCUACGAGAAGCAGCAGUGGGGAAUAUUGCACAAUGGGGGAGAUCCUGAUGCAGCGAGGCCGCGUUAACGAAGAAGGUAUUCGAAUCGUAAAUUUCUGUGCUAUGAGAAGAUAAUGACAGUACCAUGAAAGAAAGCUCCGGCUAACUACGUG
rnacentral:rRNA from 1 species